AAGUCUAUAUGUUUGUUUAGUCAGAUGAAACCCUUUUUAAAAGAAAUUAUUUUAUCAAAGGAAUUUAUGGAUGCCUUAUUAUGAUAUUUCUAAGCAUGGGAUACCUAGGUGAUAGAAAGAUAUACUAUUAUUUUGAGUGAUGUAUGCAACUUUGGGUUUUCAGAGAUUGCUUCGUUUUCACUUGUGUUGUUGGAGCUCUUGGUGGCUCUCUUUUUGGUUAUGUUCUUGGUGUUUCAGGAGUUGGAAUGGCUCCGUCCCAUCAGAUUCUAGAGCUGAAAGAUGGAAAACAGCAAGGCAUUGUUGGAGAUUGAGGUGAGUUUCAUUAUUUCUCAGUUUUGUGUUUUACCCAAAAUUUUAUUCUACUUAGAUGGG